rnacentral:rRNA from 1 species
CCCUUUUGAACGGGAUAACCCAGCGAAAGGUGGACUAAUACCGUAUACUGCAUAUAUAUCGCAUGAUUAAUAUGUUAAAGGCUGCUCUUCGGAGCAUCCACAAAAGGAUGGGCCUGCGUUCCAUUAGCUAGUUGGUGAGGUAACGGCUCACCAAGGCAGCGAUGGAUAGCUGGUUUGAGAGAGUGAUCAGCCACACUGGGACUGAGAUACGGCCCAG